AACGAACGCUGGCGGCAGGCCUAACACAUGCAAGUCGAGCGAACCCUUCGGGGUUAGCGGCGGACGGGUUAGUAACGCGUGGGAAUAUACCCUUUGGUACGGAAUAGCCUCGGGAAACUGAGAGUAAUACCGUAUGUGCCCUUCGGGGAAAGAUUAUCGCCAAAGGAUUAGCCCGCGUUGGAUUAGAUAGUUGGUGGGGUAAUGGCCUACCAAGUCUACGAUCCAUAGUUGGUUUGAGAGGAUGAUCAGCAACACUGGGACUGAGACACGGCCCAGACUCCUACGGGAGGCAGCAGUGGGGAAUCUUAGACAAUGGGCGCAAGCCUGGUCUAGCCAUGCCGCGUGGACGAUGAAGGCCUUAGGGUUGUAAAGUCCUCUCAGAUGGGAAGAUAAUGACGGUACCAUCAGAAGAAGCCCCGGCUAACUCCGUG
rnacentral:rRNA from 1 species